rnacentral:rRNA from 1 species
GAUGAACGCUGGCGGCGUGCCUAAUACAUGCAAGUCGAGCGAACGGACGAGAAGCUUGCUUUUCUGAUGUUAGCGGCGGACGGGUGAGUAACACGUGGAUAACCUACCUAUAAGACUGGGAUAACUUCGGGAAACCGGAGCUAAUACCGGAUAAUAUUUUGAACCGCAUGGUUCAAAAGUGAAAGACGGUCUUGCUGUCACUUAUAGAUGGAUCCGCGCUGCAUUAGCUAGUUGGUAAGGUAACGGCUUACCAAGGCAACGAUGCAUAGCCGACCUGAGAGACUGGUAGGCCACACGGGAACUGAGACACGGUCCAUACUCCUGCGGGACGCACCAGUAGGGAAUCUUCCGCAAUGGUCGGGAGCCUUACGGAGCAACGCCACGUGAGUGAUGACGGUCUUCGGAUCGUAAAACUCUGUUAUUAGUGAAGAACAUAUGUGUAAGUAACUGUGCACAUCUUGACGGUACCUAAUCAGAAAGCCACGGCUAACUACGUG